UGCCAGACCUACACCUCUCCAC
rnacentral:misc_RNA from 1 species